rnacentral:lncRNA from 1 species
CUUCUCUUAUUCCUUGUUAGACCUGGCCUUGAGGAUGCAGGACAGCGGUCAAUCUGGAUUCUGCAUUCGCCGUUCAGUAGACAAAUAUAUAAAGCAACCAUUCCCUCUCUUCACCCUCAGGCUCUUGUCCCAGGUCUUGAUCAACUCAGCCCUCAAGCACCUCUAACCAACCGUCCUCUCGAAACCCUCACGAAGGCCCCACCACUCCCACCACCCGUGAAGCCACUGUCAACCACUCGCUCCCUCUCCACGGCACUCAGUGAGAGAGUCCUGCUCACCUCCUGCCACAGCCCACACCCUCUGUGCCCUCCUCCUGGGCCCCUGGCUCGUUCAAGGGCAUCACCGUGGAGCUCCACGCCUCUCACCCACAGGACGUCCAUGGACUCCCCACCGGUCCCCUUGCCUUCGCUCUCCGCCCCUCCAGCCAAGCCUAAAGUACAGGUUACAGCGUCAGGCCCAUCACAGCGGCAACGGCUCCCUCAUUUCUCUCUCACAACGACUGCAUGAGAGAAGUACUGCUCUUAUUACCUCCAUCUCGAAGAUGAGAAAGCGAGGUGUACAGAGUUUAAGGAACCCACUCGUGGUUAAUUACACAGUUAGCAAAGCCUUGGAACUGGGGUUUGAAUACACAUAGUCUGGCCUGCCUGCAGAGCAGCUGCCUUUAACCUCUCUGCUCCACUGCUAAUUGGCCUCUUCUGCCAGAAACACCUAGAGGAUAGAGUCCACAUGCUUCUCCCUGGCCUCUGGGGACCCUCAGACACACCCUUGCCGCCCAUCACCUACUGUGCCCCCGUCCUGAUCGCACCCGUUACCUGUCCAUGUCCACCUCUCAACCCUUGAAUUCCUGUCCCGGGGUCAAAGCCACAUCUCCCAGGGUCAAAGCCGUCCCAUCCUCGAAGGUCACUCAAAGGCCUCUCCAUCAGGCUGUGCAGCAAAGCAGCCAUGGUGGGGGAAGGGCUGGCCGCGGGGAGCCGGAGACCUGAAAACUUGGCCCUUGCCCUUCUAGAUGGUGACAGGGAUCUGGAGCCCUCAGGCCAGGCCUCGCUUUUCUCAUGUAUCAGAUGGAGAGGGUAGGACUUGCUCACUCUUAGGAGUCCUGCUUUUGCUCUAAGAGUCAAGGACCCUAUGCUUUCAUGAUCCCCGAAAUGGAGGUGAAGCUGCCCUCUCCGAAUCCCUUUAACAUUCACAGAAUGGAGAGAAUGUCAGGCCUGGGAAGGGCUUCAAAGAAAGUGUAAUCCCACCCUUCACUCUUCCACCCCCGCCCCC